rnacentral:misc_RNA from 1 species
UUUCCGUAGGUGAACCUGCGGAAGGAUCAUUAUUGAAUGAAACACUUCUGGCUUUAUGCUGUUGUGCUGGCCCUUUGGGUAAUGUGCACACGGCUCUGGUCACUUGUUUCUUUUGUUCCACCUGUUCACUGCCUGUACACACGCUGUGUCUAUGAUAUUUGUUAACACACAACAAUGUUAGUUGGCAUGUUAUAUAUAAUAAUAAAAUAUACAACUUUCAACAACGGAUCUCUUGGCUCUC